rnacentral:rRNA from 1 species
UACGUAGGGUGCGAGCGUUAAUCGGAAUUACUGGGCGUAAAGCGUGCGCAGGCGGUGAUGUAAGACAGGUGUGAAAUCCCGGGGCUCAACCUCGGAACUGCAUUUGUGACUGCAUCGCUGGAGUGCGGCAGAGGGGGAUGGAAUUCCGCGUGUAGCAGUGGAAAUGCGUAGAUAUGCGGAGGAACACCGAUGGCGAAGGCAAUCCCCUGGGCCUGCACUGACGCUCAUGCACGAAAGCGUGGGGAGCAAACAGG